UACAGAGGGUGCGAGCGUUGUCCGGAAUCACUGGGCGUAAAGGGCGCGUAGGUGGCGACCCAAGUCGAUGGUGAAAGCUCGCCGCUCAACGGCGAGUCGGCCACUGAUACUGGGUUGCUGGAGCACUGUAGAGGCAGAUGGAAUUCCGGGUGUAGCGGUGGAACGCGUAGAGAUCCGGAAGAACACCGGUGGCGAAGGCGGUCUGCUGGGCAGUUGCUGACACUGAGGCGCGACAGCGUGGGGAGCAAACAGG
rnacentral:rRNA from 1 species